GACGUAGGAGGCGAGCGUUGUCCGGAUUCAUUGGGCGUAAAGAGCACGCAGGCGGUUUGGCAAGUCGGAUGUGAAAACCCGAAGCUCAACUUCGGGCCUGCAUCCGAAACUGCCCGACUAGAGGUAGGUAGGGGAGAUCGGAAUUCCUGGUGUAGCGGUGAGAUGCGCAGAUAUCAGGAGGAACACCGGUGGCGAAGGCGGAUCUCUGGGCCUUACCUGACGCUCAGGUGCGAAAGCUAGGGGAGCGAACAGG
rnacentral:rRNA from 1 species